AACAGCUGAUUGCUAUGUGGACGGAAGAUCCAUACCCGACGGCCACAACUUCACACGAUUCAUGAUGGGACCUUGUAUUGAGUUCAAAUGUAAUGCUGGCGAAAUCUUCCCUUUGAAGAGCGGCUGUUACAGGAACGGCCAAUGUUAUCCUAUAGGAGACAAAUACUCAUUGGGCUGUCUCGAGCGCAAGUGUACUACCAUCAACAUCUGGGCUGACUAUAGGCUCACCAAGGAAGGUUGUCUUGCACCCGACGGCCUGACGUGCAUUGACGUUGGCGCCACGUGGACAAGGAAUGCAUCACGUACCGCUGUAACAGCAUCGUGCACUCCGAGUUCUCCAUCUCCUACGACAUAGACCUGGUUGCGUGGGGAUGUAAGGUGGGCAACGAGUGCGUGGCAGAGAACCACGUCAUCACUGAGGAUUGUCACGUGAAGCAAUGUCAACGACACUUAUCCGCCAUAGGUUUCUACACUGUGAAGUUGGGUUGUCCUCUCAAAGGAGAGUGUCUGGAAAUCGGGCAGUCUAAGACCAAAGACUGCACCACCAUGACCUGCCAGAGGGAGGUUAUUGCAGGCAUCCACUACCUGUCCAUCAAACCCACCAAGAUCCAAUGCCAGGACGCUGACAAGAGGUGUCACGAAGGUGGGUCUUACUUCCCUUUAGCAGUCAGAGGCAGGCGCCUGAACUGCACGUGCAUUGUUCACGAGGGUAACAUAGGUGCAUCCUACACCUGUCCGCCACAGUAGGAUCUGUUUGCUGCAUCUGCAAUGCUGGAAUGACAGGAAGGAUAGCUGUUGGUAAACUUCCAAACAGAAUCUAUGCCUUAUGGUGGCGAAGACAAAACUGAAAUUCGACAGUCGUGGCCAGGCACUGAGUUUAACAUGAACAUAGACGCCAGUUGUCCACAUUGAUUUUAUGCGAAAAAGAGAAAAAAAAACUUGUUUCCUUCCUUGUUUUAAUCUCUAACGUAUCAUAAACCACAUUGCCUAAUAAAAUACACUAUCAGAAGA
rnacentral:lncRNA from 1 species